GCUGCAGGCGUCACGCAGCAUCCGCGAAAAUUGCAAUUGAUUGAAUUUCGGCUCAAAUCGGUUACGAAUAGUGUUGAAAUUUAGUUAUUUAACGGAAUUACAUGUUCUACAUCGGUUUUCAAUUAGUUUUGUUUGGAAUUUAUCGUUUAAAUGGUUAAAUUCGGCAUUUUGCAGCAACCGCCGCUGUUAACCGUUAUCUCCGUUACCUUUUUCACCGUUUUCUCACUCGCGUUGCUUAAAAGUGAUGCAUUUCGUUAAUUUAUGUUUUUUUCUUGGCUAAAUAGUUAUUAGAAUGCAAUAAUAAUUGCUUUUAAAUGCGAUCCUUGAGCAGCAAAAUUGCGAAGUUUAUUUCGUCUAAACGGUAAAUUCCAACGGUUUUGUGCGCGGGUGCUCCGCUGGACAAGUGCGCGUGUGUGCGUGUGCAAGAAGAGCAGUGAAUCUAAUAUGAAAUUGAACUUCAAAACAUAUUGUUAUAUUUGUGUGUGUAUAUCGUUGCUUCAAAAUUAUAUGAGCGAAGGUUAAAAUUCCAAUUGGCCUUGGAUGUAUUAAUACUUAGUAAGUUUUAGUGGGCAUUUUCACUCGAGCGGAGAAACUGCGCCACAAGACAAAACGAGGUUAUUAUCUCCCCACUGUGCCGCUGCCACGCCCACUGUGCAACGCCCUAGUCUGCGCAUAUAUAGUCAUUCAUCUAUUUUCCACCAGGUAGUCAGGUACUAAUGCUUUGGCCUUUGGACGUAUUUAAAAAUCAUCAUCUGACAUUCACGUCUUUUUACAACCACUCACUUGGUAUUCAUUUACCUCUGGCACUCGGCACUCUGGCACUCAUAACUCACAUGUCGCCUUAUUAGCAAGCCAUGGCCAACUCAUUGAGUGGAUUCCGCCAGCUUCUGGUUUUCCUUUUGCUGUUUUGGCCAUUCACUUGCUGGCAUUUGGCGCAGAUUGGUCAAAGGGCAUCAGCCACCGAGAUCUCGGCUCCAAAGACAUAAACGUGGACAUGGACCGUGGACCUGAUGGAGCUGAUGGAACUGAUGGAGCUGCAGCUGAAUUAGGAGUGGGAGUUUCGAACGUGAGCCAAGUGCCACACCCUUUUGGGAUACUACACUGUACGAAGAGAGCAACCAAAAAUCAUGAUAACUAUGUUAUAUAACAUUUUGGUCAAAUCAAUUUUUCUGAGUGCAACUGAAAGAGUUGCGCGGGCUGGAUAACAUUUUCCCACAGGCGCCGCCGUCAGGCGCUGCCAUAAACGAGCUACGUGUCGCCAUCAGGUGGCGUUGUCCCGCCCCAGCACUCGCAUAUCGAGCAAAUCUACAGAAUCUGGUGAAUCUGCUGCCUCGUAAAAACAUCCUCCAUCCGAGCAACAUCCUCCGAGAGAAAUUAAAGAAAGGCGACUGGAGCAGGCGCUUAGACAAAGUCAACCCUUUGAUAAAGUUGCCCAGAUGAAUGGACCAGUUGUAGU